GUGCGUAAUAGCUCACUAGUCGAGUGACACUGCGCCGAAAAUGUACCGGGGCUAAACAUAUUACCGAAGCUGUGGAUUGUCCUUUGGACAAUGGUAGGAGAGCGUUCUAAGGGCGUUGAAGCAUGAUCGUAAGGACAUGUGGAGCGCUUAGAAGUGAGAAUGCCGGUGUGAGUAGCGAAAGACGGGUGAGAAUCCCGUCCACCGAUUGACUAAGGUUUCCAGAGGAAGGCUCGUCCGCUCUGGGUUAGUCGGGUCCUAAGCUGAGGCCGACAGGCGUAGGCGAUGGAUAACAGGUUGAUAUUCCUGUACCACCUAUAAUCGUUUUAAUCGAUGGGGGGACGCAGUAGGAUAGGCGAAGCGUGCGAUUGGAUUGCACGUCUAAGCAGUAAGGCUGAGUAUUAGGCAAAUCCGGUACUCGUUAAGGCUGAGCUGUGAUGGGGAGAAGACAUUGUGUCUUCGAGUCGUUGAUUUCACACUGCCGAGAAAAGCCUCUAGAUAGAAAAUAGGUGCCCGUACCGCAAACCGACACAGGUAGUCAAGAUGAGAAUUCUAAGGUGAGCGAGCGAACUCUCGUUAAGGAACUCGGCAAAAUGACCCCGUAACUUCGGGAGAAGGGGUGCUCUUUAGGGUUAACGCCCAGAAGAGCCGCAGUGAAUAGGCCCAAGCGACUGUUUAUCAAAAACACAGGUCUCUGCUAAACCGUAAGGUGAUGUAUAGGGGCUGACGCCUGCCCGGUGCUGGAAGGUUAAGAGGAGUGGUUAGCUUCUGCGAAGCUACGAAUCGAAGCCCCAGUAAACGGCGGCCGUAACUAUAACGGUCCUAAGGUAGCGAAAUUCCUUGUCGGGUAAGUUCCGACCCGCACGAAAGGCGUAACGAUUUGGGCACUGUCUCAACGAGAGACUCGGUGAAAUCAUAGUACCUGUGAAGAUGCAGGUUACCCGCGACAGGACGGAAAGACCCCGUGGAGCUUUACUGUAGCCUGAUAUUGAAAUUCGGCACAGCUUGUACAGGAUAGGUAGGAGCCUUUGAAACGUGAGCGCUAGCUUACGUGGAGGCGCUGGUGGGAUACUACCCUAGCUGUGUUGGCUUUCUAACCCGCACCACUUAUCGUGGUGGGAGACAGUGUCAGGCGGGCAGUUUGACUGGGGCGGUCGCCUCCUAAAAGGUAACGGAGGCGCUCAAAGGUUCCCUCAGAAUGGUUGGAAAUCAUUCAUAGAGUGUAAAGGCAUAAGGGAGCUUGACUGCGAGACCUACAAGUCGAGCAGGGUCGAAAGACGGACUUAGUGAUCCGGUGGUUCCGCAUGGAAGGGCCAUCGCUCAACGGAUAAAAGCUACCCCGGGGAUAACAGGCUUAUCUCCCCCAAGAGUUCACAUCGACGGGGAGGUUUGGCACCUCGAUGUCGGCUCAUCGCAUCCUGGGGCUGUAGUCGGUCCCAAGGGUUGGGCUGUUCGCCCAUUAAAGCGGUACGCGAGCUGGGUUCAGAACGUCGUGAGACAGUUCGGUCCCUAUCCGUCGUGGGCGUAGGAAAUUUGAGAGGAGCUGUCCUUAGUACGAGAGGACCGGGAUGGACAUACCUCUGGUGUACCAGUUGUCGUGCCAACGGCAUAGCUGGGUAGCUAUGUGUGGACGGGAUAAGUGCUGAAAGCAUCUAAGCAUGAAGCCCCCCUCAAGAUGAGAUUUCCCAACUUCGGUUAUAAGAUCCCUCAAAGAUGAUGAGGUUAAUAGGUUCGAGGUGGAAGCAUGGUGACAUGUGGAGCUGACGAAUACUAAUCGAUCGAAGACUUAAUCAAAUU
rnacentral:rRNA from 1 species